UAGAAGAACCUUACCAAGGUUUGACAUCUCCCGAGNUCCUGCAGAGAUGUGGGGUCCUUUGGGGGUGCGUGACAGGUGGUGCAUGGCUGUUGUCAGCUUGUGUUGUGAGAUGUUGGGUUAAGUCCCGCAACGAGCGUAACCCUUGUUCCAUGUUGCCAGCCGGUUAUGGCGGGGANUCAUGGGAGACUGCCGGGGUCAACUCGGAGGAAGGUGGGGAUGACGUCAAGUCAUCAUGCCCCUUAUGUCCUGGGCUUCAAACAUNGUNCAANGGCUGGUNCCAANGGGUGNGAUNCCGUGGGGNGGGAGGNAAUUCCUUAAAGCCGGUCUCAGUUCGGAUUGGGGUCUGCAACUCGACCCCAUGAAGUNUGGAGUCGCUAGUAAUCGCAGAUCAG
rnacentral:rRNA from 1 species